GCAUCUUCCUCUAUUGCUUUCUGCCUUGUUCCCUUGAGAGAGUGUCUUUACUGAGCCCAGAGCCUGUAUUAUGUUGGAGGCUGGUGGCUGGAUGAUUCUCCCCAUCUCUGCCCUGCACAUAGUGCUGGAGUCACAGGAGACCAGGAAGAAGCCUUGGAAAGAUGGUUAUUCAACUGCUAACUGGCCUUUCAUGCCUGGAGGCAAAAAUCGGAGACCUAUGGCAUUCCUCAAACUGGUUACCCUCCCUCCCUAGGACACUCCCAUCGCUCCAUCCACUCUGAAGAAAGCAGGAGAGUGGCAGUGGGACACUGUCCUUGAACAGACAGCACAGCAGAGGCCUGUGAGGUGGCUCCGUGGGUAAGAGGCCAAGCAAGCAACGACACCUGUGUUCAGUCCCUGGAACCCACCCAGCGGACAGAGAGAAGGACUCCUGCAAGUCUUAUGACCUCCAAGUGCAUGUGUGCCGUGGCCGUGGCAUGCACUUGCCCCUCCUCCAAAUAAAGAAAACUUAAUGAAAAAAAAUUAAAAGUAGAAAACAACACCAGUAGCUCGAGGAGUCAACUGGUCAGUCAGAGUAUCACAUUUGAUGAUCUGAUGAUGGUUUUAUUUUACAUAUAUGCAAGUGUUUGCAUGUAUGUGGGUGCACAUGUACGAAUACAUGUGUCAAGGCCAAAGGACAACUUUGGGGGUCAUUUCUCAGGAGCCAUCAACCUUAUUUUCUGAGACAGGGCCUCUCACUGGAAUCUGACUGGCCAGCAACCUCCCAAGGAUGUUCCUGUCUCUGCCUCCCCAGCCCUGGGGUUACACCGGUGGACCACUGGGUUCAGCUUUGCUCACUGGGGUGCUGAUGCUAGAAUGCUGGUCCUCAUUAUGAGUGGCAGACACUUUCAUGACUGAGUCACUGCGCAUGUGUCAACACAUCCCUUAGGAGGUGUUGACACACUGGGGCAGUGUGGAUACCUCCUCUGGGGAAGGCAAGGAUGGUGUGUACCUCUAAGAUUGUUGAACUACUCUAGAAAAAGGAAGAAGGCAGUGACCGGCCCAGAACAGAGGACACAAUUCUGAAUCUCAAUGGAAAUCACCGAGGCCUGCUGCAGAGGCAGAUAGCUGGAGAUGUGUUGUUGGUGUUACACAGAGGCUGUUGGCAGACACAGAGCGCUCAGAGCUCCAAAAACCUUAGAAGGGAGAACGGUGAAUAUGCUCACUGCUCAUGGGCACUGAGAUGCCUUCUACCACUAACUCAGCCAGGAGGUAAGCAAGAAGCAAGGGGCCAAGGACUACCUUGUCAGUCCUGAAGCGAGGGUGCUUUCUGGUCCUCAGUUUACCCGACAAAGGAGGGGCAUGCUGGUCCUUUCCUAAAAAGAUGCUACUAGAGGAACUAUUGCUCUUGUUUAUUUGUCUGGAUUGGAUGGCUAGACGGUUGGUUUGGUUCAGGUUUGAGUUUUUGUUGUUUGUUUUGCAUUCGAGAUAAGAUCUCUGUAUUUAGCCCAGGUUGGCCUGAAUUCCUUGGGAGCCUUUUGCCGAUGCUUCCCAAGUGCUGAGACUCCAGGUGUGCACCACCAAAGCUCAGCUGCAUGGAGAAGUUUAGAACUCUCUACAGUGUAUAAUUAGUCAUAGCUAAAAAUGAAGGGUAGCAUUAUCACCUCUGCUGGGAAGAAAGGAGCCUGAGGCACAUGGGAGAGAGGCAAGAACUGAAGCAAUCUGAGAACGCAGUUCCCCCACCCCCACCCCAGUAGUCACUCCCCCGAAGAGGUGUAUGGCUGAGCAGAAAGCCUACGUACAAGGAAAUGUGGGACUGAGCUAGGAAACUGAGAUUAAGGGGUAGAAUGGAUUGCAACUCCCAAUGGGAAAAGGAACUAGAGGGUGUUACAGAUUUCCCCCCUAAAGCUCCCUGGAAGUGCUAAACCCUAAAUCUCAGAGUGUGGCCGUAUCUGGUAGCAGGGUGACUGCAGACAUCAUUAAGAGGAGCCAGGCCUGGAGCAGGACGGGCCCUAGAUCCGAUAUGACCAGUGCAAGACACAGAAAGACUGCGGAAGACACUCACAGAGACUGAGCAAUCCAGCUGCAGAGCCCAGGAGUGCCUGGGGCCACAAGGCGAUGGGAGAGACAAGAAGGGUCUUGCCCCCAGAAGCUUCUCAGGGCCUGUUGUCCUGAAAACACUCUGCUAUCAGACUCCGGCCUCCAGAGCGGAGAGAAGGAACUCCGUUCAUCUGGCUCCACACAGUUCCAACUGUCGGUGUGUCAAUGUCCCGGAAAUAAACACAGGAUUUAGCACCCAUGUUCCUGGAGCCUCUUCCAUGGGGAAAUGAGGGCUGAAAAGUAAACCAAGCUCCAUUCAGAGCACAUCUUAACCAAAACAAAAACAAAAAACAAAAACAACAACAACAACAACAACAACAAAGCCGGGCA